UAGUUUUCUGCACCCUUCGGUUAUGGGCAGCCUUUGGGAAGGGAGGAUGUGACCACUCACAGUCACAAGACCCUUAUCCAAACCAUUUGUGGCCUCAACUGUCCCAUGUCUACCUUCUCCUAACAGACCUUUCUCCUGCUAAUGCAGCACUUAGGCUCUUUCUCAGCAGUAGCACACAUAUAAUGUGGGGGAAGGAAGUUAUUGUUCAGAUUUGUUUACUCUUGCACCCUCUGGGUUUGACAGUGUGCCAGAAAGCAGGUGCAUCAUUUGACAAAUGCCUUAUUGUGUCAUCUGCCUCCUCUCUACAUCCUCAGCUUGUAAUUUUCAACGGAUUGAUGUACAGCAUCUAAAAUACAGGAAAUUCAGCUUAUUGACAAUUUGAUUUCUCAGUUACUGGAAGAAUAGGGAAAAAAAAGGUACUGAACAAUAUUACUGGACCAGAUGGGGAAGUUACCAGCUGCACCUGUAACUCUGUAAAUAUGGAACAUUCCUCCUGUGCAGUGACUUCACCCUGUGCUAACUGCCUCGUGCACUAAUGAAAUCCUUGAGCAAGGGAUCUGGAAGAGAAAGCAUGUUGCUGAAUAAGAGCUGGUGUACACUCUUCUACUCACAGAAAAAGAGAGGUCUGCACAUCAAUGACUUCUUCAAUUUCCUGACCAAAGGGGAUGGAAGGGAAGAUUGUGUGACUGAUAAAUAUGGUAGGCAGAGUGGAGGGAAUAAAAAGUAAACACAAUGCAACUCUGAAGCAAAACUAGGAAAAUGGGUGAUUUGGGAUAGAAAUUCUGAUUUCUGUUAUCAGACUCUCUCUUCUUUUUUUGUUUUCUUCCUAAAUAUACUCACUCUUUGGUCCAAAUAUUUUGCUUUCCUUGGCUUCCAUUAUUCCAUGGUUUUCAUCUCACCCAGUGCUUCUCUUUUGUGUGUCACGCAGCUCCUUUUCUUCUCUUGCAUGUUUUGAGUCUACUUCAUCCUCAGGAGAUGAGGAGAGCCACCUGUUAAUCUUCUCACCCUACUGGAGUUCACUGCUUAAGCUCUGUCUUGUUCCACCCAUGUCCAAACUGUUUUCUUUGUGCUCCUCGCAUGGGGCCUCCUAUUUCAAAUCUCUGUUUCUCUGUGGAUACACUGCUUAGAAAAUCAUGCCAAGGUAUGAGCUAGGGCCAUGUACCACUGAUUUUUUGUGCUGCAUAACUGCUAAUGUACACUUAGGACAGCUUUAUUCUAUCUCAAGAUGCCACUGACCAGACAAAGUCUAGUCAAAGGGGAAAUCAUACAUCAGAAAAUGAAACAUGUGUUGGGCUGUGUAUUCAACGUCAGACUGGGUUUGGGUCCUGCCUUCUUAUACCAUCCUCCAAAGCUGUCCCUGGAAGCUUUUUCUCCUUGAAUGUCCCUCACAUAUCUUCAGUGCCACAGCUCACAACACUGCCCUGAUUUUCCUGCUACCAAAACAACAGCCCCGUGGGGUGCCAUGGCCCUCACAGGUUCUGAGCUGGAAUAUGCACAGCAAAUAACAAUAAAUUACCUUCAAGCCACCUCAGAAAGCACAGAGCUAUGAAGUGUGCUAGGAGGCAAGGUCAGCUCUUUUGUCUCCUGCUUCAUUUAGUGGCAGAACUGCAUUUGUGAGUUCUUGUGACAAGGGCUGUUUUUUGUUUUGGGAUUGUAGUGAUGCUACAUUGCCUUGCUUUCUUUUUCUUUUAUGUCUUUUAACUUUAAUUUCUUAAGGGAGCACAACCUGUUACAGAGCAGAGGUUUGGGUACAGAUCCUUUGCCCUUUACACCCACCUAUGUGCUGUUUCAUCAUAAAAAAUAAAGCAAGAUAAAGCAACCUGAAGCUUUUGUUCCUGGGCACAAGGAGAGUUACAGAGCCAGUCAGUGGUAUUAGGAGGAGGCAGCUGACACUUGGUAUGAUCCUUGCCCAUGGUAGAAACAUGAUGAGAAAUUACAUGGAGGUGUCUGAUGUGGAGGAAAAAAAAAUAAGGCAGUUCUCAGGAAAUAGAAUCACAUUUUUCUGCUAUUAAGUGAGGACCCACUCUCUGGCCUGGAGGCCAACUGGCAUGAUCUGGCAAUAAACCAUGCAGCUCCUUGACAUCAAGGAAAGCAAAUUUAAUGUGGAGUUAAAUCCAUGCUUCUCCUUUGCUGAUAAAUUCAGCUUGUUUCCUGCUGUUCAGCUGGAACAAAUGCUUCCAUUCCCUCUGCCCAGAUAUCAAGCUCAGGAAAUAGCUGAAACCCUGGAAGGGCAUAUUUUGCUUGCAAAACACAAAGAAAUGUUGUGGGAUUUUUUUUUUCCAGUUAAACUGUUUAAAGACUUUAUUUUUUUUUAAAUUUUUUUGGUAAUUUAACCUGUUUUAAGACUAUUUUUUUUUUCCCUGGGAAAUACCUUUCAUUAGGUAAUUUCUCAGUCACAUGAGCUUUAUUUAAAAAUGCAGAUAUGCAUGAAGAAUUGGUUUUAGUGAUAUCAACAACAGACUCAGAGAAACAAUUACAUAAUGCUUUUAUUUCAGCUGCUCACACAUGUUUUAAUCAAUUAAUAUUUGUAGUGGACCACUAACUUCCAUGGGAACUGAAUAUGUUGGACUUAAGAGUUUGAAAGUACAGCUGCAAUAACUUAAUUUGGUUGCUUCCAGGAGCAAAAAUAUCUGUUUUUCUUGUAGUAGAGAAAAGAGAAAAUAAUAAGAAGAGGAGCCUAAUGAGAAAGCUGAAUAUCAUCAUAUUUACACACUGAGGUGAAAAUACGGAGGAAUUGUCUCCCUGUGGAUUUGCUCUGCUCUUAAGCCAUUAGAAUUGCCUCAGAUCUCAGCAUCUGCCCUCUGCACACAGUGAAGAAAGGAAGCUGAGCUAAAGGCUGGGUCUUCACUCCUUCUUCUUAGACAGAAGCUAAACAAGGCUUUUGAAUUAGGAAAACCAUUACUAUUUCUAUUUAAAUUUUCUGGAGAAAGAACUGUUACUGAAAAGCACUCUACUGUCAGUCUGGCAGUUUUUCCAUUGCACACCAAACUGAUAUUCAGAACUGUGGAGUUCCUACAAUGGAAGCUAUUUUAAUUUCUCGGUCCCAAAUUUUCUCACAAAAAAAGAAAUCCCCAUCAGACCAUGAAUUUGUUUAUAAGGGCAACCUUCUCUCACUAAAACAAGCAGUGCAUUUUUACAAAGAGGUGCAGUAUUUUUCUGAGCAAACAGAUUGCAGUUCAGUCAAUGAACACAGCACUUUUUAAAUGGCUGCUGCAGAGAAAAUCUGGAAAAUCCCAGUGGAGGAAUUUUACAAAGAGUAAUUCUGGACUAUGUUAUUGAGCUCCCUCUGUUGAGAUCUAAGAAACUAAGCUCAUGCUCAGCCCUGUGAAACACCAUAGAUUUCCAGCUAAAUUAAAUAAAACUUAUAACACAGGUGAAAACUAAAUUCUUUAUGUAUCCUGUCUGUUUCUCUACUUGUUUCUGCUGUCAUGGAUCAGGUAUGACUGUACCAAAGUCAUCAGAGUUAUAUGCUUGAAGUAAAUUUGAGAAGAGAUUUGGAAUCUACAUUAGGUGUGACAUUACCUCUUAGCAGUGCAGGUGUUUGUCUAGAACGCUGUGGAUGGACUUUGGUUGUGCUUCAUUGCUCCCCAGACCAGCAGCGAGCUGACAGAGAUGAGAUGGAAAUAGUGAAUCAGGACAUCAAUCCCACCCAAAUAUAAUCCAUAGAUGAGGAGAAAUCUGCCUUCAUGAAGCCCAAGAAUCUUAUUUCUACACCAUUAGCCUUCCUAGGAGAGUGACCCAGAGGAGGCUGGGAAGAUGUGGAACUUCAAUUCCCAUGGGAAGAGCAGUCAGAAGAGGAGGCACUGCUCUCUCCUGGCAUUGCACAGCAUCCUUCACUCAAAUCCCUGGGAUCUACAGCAUGUGGAGUGUUAUUCCACCAAGCUGCAGAGGGAUUUGGGUACCUGCUGCUAAUUUGGGAGAUGUGCCUUUCAGUGUCAACAGUACAGCUAUUUCUGUCAGUAGACUAAGGAGAAAUGCACCUGAACUUCCAACCUCCCUUUGGGAUUGUUAAAACAGUAGCUGUAUUUGUUCAACAGAAGUAAUUUGAGUGUUUAAGCUAAAUAUAUUAAUUUAGACCUGGAAAUAAUCUUUACUGAGUAUUUUAAGCUGUCUACCUUGAAAAGGAGUCAAAGCUCACUGUGCAGAAUGGUUUGCAGUGAUGGCGUGAAUUUCUCCUCUAAUAAAGGGCAGCAGAAAUGAUCUUUCUCUCUAGAUGCAAAAGGGAGAUAAGAUGAUGAACCUACAAGAUGCUUACAUCUCUCUAAAAAAGCUCUUAGAGAUGAGAUCCUGUGUGAUGGUCAAGUAAUGACACUCAAAGUCAGAAGCAAGGUCAUGGAAGAGCACUGCAGCCUUCACACUGUCACCACCUCAGAGCGCAUGGCUGAUGCUCAAACCUCCAGCCCUGUGCCUGGUCACACUCUGGUGCUCUGGGGAUGUUCCCACCUCUCCUCUGCAGUCCCCUCAGGCAGAAGGGAAGAAGGGAACAAACACUGAUUCCCCCACAAUAUCAGCUGGUCCAGUGACCAACAGGGGAAAAAAAAACCCAUUUAAGUGCAUUGCAUGAGAGAGGAAAAAAAAAAAAAAAAAAAAGAGGAUUUUCUGGGAGGGUCAAUGGUGACAGGCUUUGCAAAUCCUGGCUUUAAAGAAAUUAUUCAAAAGCCCCAUGUAGCUCCCAAGAAAGUGCUGAGGAGGCUCUUGAAGAAAUCCCAUUUCAAUUUGCUUAUUUAAGUUAGUAGAAAAAAGACCUCCUUGUUGUCUAAUUUGUUGAUGAGUUCAGACACUUUCUGGAAUGAUUUCUUGCAUAAUUUACCUUAUUGAUACAUUAUUUAUAAGUCCUCAUUCAAUUUCGGGCUCAGGGUUUGGAUGUGAGUCUUACAUAAUGAGUAGCUGGUGUCACCUCGUGUCAGAGGAAUCAAAAGUGGUUUUGACAACCCUGGGAUUGUCACUAAAACAGCAAUAUAAUCAGAGUUAAUUUUUCACUGCUGAAUCAUUGCAAAAUGCUCCCCUGCCAUUCCCUCACAGGAAUCUAAUACAUUAUAAUGUCCUUUAUCUGUUGAAGAAAACAAUUUGCUAAGGAGCAGCAGUUCCUGGCUAAAAUGCUCCAUAAACUGAGAUCCUAAGAUCCCAUAUCCUUCCAGUACCUAUGACUGGAAGAAGUGCUUUCAUGAUGUAUUUUUCAUGACGAUACAUUCCCUUCAAGUUUAAUCUGGACACAUAGAUUUGGGAAGACCCAUGGUGUUUGCACCAUGGGCUUCAAAACGUGGAUAUUCUGCAGACUCCUCAGUAAUACAAAUAGAAUUUAAAGAAUUCAGUGAGCCCUUGGAUUCUACACUGUCUCUGGGAGCUCAGGAUUUUUUUUCACUUUCUGGAAAAGUGGUUAAAAAUAGAUAUGCAUACGGAGAAGAGUGUAUGUGUAUGUAUAUUGACAGAAUCUCCACUCACUGUGGGUGGGAAACACCCUUUAGUGACAGGCACAUAAUACAUUUUGAUAGAGAAAGAGGAGCAAUUGGUUGCUUGAGAUAAUAAAUCAUUUUCUCUUCUUCAAAAGUCUGAAGCUAUAUAGCAAAAAAAGUGCUAAGCCUGUCCCACUGUGAUCUGAAAUAUUCUGUUCCUGCCCUAUUGUUUUGUUUAGCAAAGCAGGAAAAGAAUUAUUACUUGAGGUGUAUUCCAUGCAAGUUUGUUUUCUAAUCUGUCAGGCUUUGAAUCAGACUGGCCUCAUUAAUGUAAGAAUCAUUCACAGUGUUCCCUGUGAAGUGUGCUGGGUAUUUUAGGUGGCAUCAAGUCCCUGCCUGUCAUAAGAUCCACUGUAGGAGCCUUUGCUGCUAACUUCAGGCAAAGUGAGUUUUGAGUUUUCAGCUGUAUUUGAAUGACUGUUUAGAAAUAAAGACAUGGGUUUGAAAU